UACGAAGGGGGCUAGCGUUGCUCGGAAUCACUGGGCGUAAAGGGCGCGUAGGCGGCCAUUCAAGUCAGAGGUGAAAGCCCCAAGGCUCAACCUUGGAACUGCCUUUGAUACUGUUUGGCUUGAGACCGGUAGAGGUAAGUGGAACUGCGAGUGUAGAGGUGAAAUUCGUAGAUAUUCGCAAGAACACCAGUGGCGAAGGCGGCUAACUGGUCCGGUACUGACGCUGAGGUGCGAAAGCGUGGGGAGCAAACAGG
rnacentral:rRNA from 1 species